UGCCUGCGGUGGGCUGUGAUGUUUUUAAGUAGGGGAAAUUGUUGAUCCUAACAAAAUAGGAAGAAGAGGAAGAUGAGUAUGAGGAAACUGAGGCUCCAAGAGGUGAUGUAACUGAAGUCUCCCGGCUCAUAGGAGGCAGCACUGGUAUUAGAGUUGACUUUGUUUCCCGGGGUCCUGUACGUCUGGAUUUGGGAAGGUCAGAGCCGGAUUCGCCAUGGCCCACAGGGGAAGAGAGGAUCCUGAGCAGAGCAUCGGCUGCAGCGACGACCCUCGUUCCCACCCCUGUGUUGAGGCCGGAGCACCGGACAGACCUGAGCUGCUGCCGCUCUUCUCUCGGCUGCUGUGACCACGCACACAAAUAGAAUUCAUCCCCAUUAGCCCUUGCUGACCUCCCUCUUGUCUAACAAGCAAGUGUAAAGGCUUCUCUGGAUUAAACUUGGCCCUUUAAGCCUCAGCAUAAAAAGAGAAAGAUCAAUGCCUUCAGGGCACAAAGAGCCAAAGUGCUUUCUCUUUUGGGAAACCACUCACCAGGAGUGAGCAGACACUCCGUCUCCCUUAAUAUGGAGCCACUACCCUCUUGGGACUGUUGUCCAGAAGUUUCUGCCUUAGUUUCCACCUCUUGUGCUCUUCUUUGCGGGUGGAGGAGGGGCUUGUCUGAUGAGUGAAUUCAGUGGACAUUGUCAUUCUGUAAUGCACACAAUUAAAUGAUGUUUGAUUUUCAG
rnacentral:lncRNA from 1 species